rnacentral:tRNA from 1 species
GGGGGGAUAGCCCAAGUGGUAGAGCACAUGCUUAGUAUGUAAAAGGCCCUGGGUUCAAUCCCCAGUACCUCCA